rnacentral:rRNA from 1 species
AACGAACGCUGGCGGCAUGCCUAACACAUGCAAGUCGAACGAGACCUUCGGGUCUAGUGGCGCACGGGUGCGUAACGCGUGGGAACCUGCCCUUAGGUUCGGAAUAACUCCCCGAAAGGGGUGCUAAUACCGGAUAAUGUCUUCGGACCAAAGAUUUAUCGCCUUUGGAUGGGCCCGCGUUGGAUUAGCUAGUUGGUAGGGUAAAAGCCUACCAAGGCGACGAUCCAUAGCUGGUCUGAGAGGAUGAUCAGCCACACUGGGACUGAGACACGGCCCAGACUCCUACGGGAAGCAGCAGUGGGGAAUAUUGGACAAUGGGCGAAAGCCGGAUCCAGCAAUGCCGCGUGAGUGAUGAAGGCCUUAGGGUUGUAAAGCUCUUUUACCCGGGAUGAUAAUGACAGUACCGGGAGAAUAAGCUCCGGCUAACUCCGUG